CACAUUGCCCUGAAGCGUUUCAAUUGCACCGGAAGAUCAGAGGGGGCGCUAUUAAGUGCGGACGGAAGUUCUCCUCUCCCUGUUCUACCAGUGUUACUUGUUGAUGGAAGCAUUCUCUCAGACACACGACAAACGGACCGUGUAGCGGGUUGAGUCUCGCCCUGCGUCCAAGUCACGCUCCGGCACGCUGUCGACUAGGCUCAUUGUACUGUAGGCUCAUUUCCUUGUGUGACUGUUGCUGUGAAUGUGGCAGUGAAAGGUUUGUGCUGUAGCAGUAUCUA